rnacentral:rRNA from 1 species
GAUUAAGUUAUUAAGGGCGCACGGUGGAUGCCUUGGCACUAGAAGCCGAUGAAGGACGUUACUAACGACGAUAUGCUUUGGGGAGCUGUAAGUAAGCUUUGAUCCAGAGAUUUCCGAAUGGGGAAACCCAACAUGAGUUAUGUCAUGUUAUCGAUAUGUGAAUACAUAGCAUAUCAGAAGGCACACCCGGAGAACUGAAACAUCUUAGUACCCGGAGGAAGAGAAAGAAAAAUCGAUUCCCUUAGUAGCGGCGAGCGAAACGGGAAGAGCCCAAACCAACAAGCUUGCUUGUUGGGGUUGUAGGACACUCUAUACGGAGUUACAAAGGACGACAUUAGACGAAUCAUCUGGAAAGAUGAAUCAAAGAAGGUAAUAAUCCUGUAGUCGAAAAUGUUGUCUCUCUUGAGUGGAUCCUGAGUACGACGGAGCACGUGAAAUUCCGUCGGAAUCUGGGAGGACCAUCUCCUAAGGCUAAAUACUCUCUAGUGACCGAUAGUGAACCAGUACCGUGAGGGAAAGGUGAAAAGCACCCCGGAAGGGGAGUGAAAUAGAACCUGAAACCGUGUGCUUACAAGUAGUCAGAGCCCGUUAAUGGGUGAUGGCGUGCCUUUUGUAGAAUGAACCGGCGAGUUACGAUUUGAUGCAAGGUUAAGCAGUAAAUGUGGAGCCGUAGCGAAAGCGAGUCUGAAUAGGGCGUUUAGUAUUUGGUCGUAGACCCGAAACCAGGUGAUCUACCCUUGGUCAGGUUGAAGUUCAGGUAACACUGAAUGGAGGACCGAACCGACUUACGUUGAAAAGUGAGCGGAUGAACUGAGGGUAGCGGAGAAAUUCCAAUCGAACCUGGAGAUAGCUGGUUCUCUCCGAAAUAGCUUUAGGGCUAGCCUCAAGUGAUGAUUAUUGGAGGUAGAGCACUGUUUGGACGAGGGGCCCCUCUCGGGUUACCGAAUUCAGACAAACUCCGAAUGCCAAUUAAUUUAACUUGGGAGUCAGAACAUGGGUGAUAAGGUCCGUGUUCGAAAGGGAAACAGCCCAGACCACCAGCUAAGGUCCCAAAAUAUAUGUUAAGUGGAAAAGGAUGUGGCGUUGCCCAGACAACUAGGAUGUUGGCUUAGAAGCAGCCAUCAUUUAAAGAGUGCGUAAUAGCUCACUAGUCGAGUGACACUGCGCCGAAAAUGUACCGGGGCUAAACAUAUUACCGAAGCUGUGGAUUGUCCUUUGGACAAUGGUAGGAGAGCGUUCUAAGGGCGUUGAAGCAUGAUCGUAAGGACAUGUGGAGCGCUUAGAAGUGAGAAUGCCGGUGUGAGUAGCGAAAGACGGGUGAGAAUCCCGUCCACCGAUUGACUAAGGUUUCCAGAGGAAGGCUCGUCCGCUCUGGGUUAGUCGGGUCCUAAGCUGAGGCCGACAGGCGUAGGCGAUGGAUAACAGGUUGAUAUUCCUGUACCACCUAUAAUCGUUUUAAUCGAUGGGGGGACGCAGUAGGAUAGGCGAAGCGUGCGAUUGGAUUGCACGUCUAAGCAGUAAGGCUGAGUAUUAGGCAAAUCCGGUACUCGUUAAGGCUGAGCUGUGAUGGGGAGAAGACAUUGUGUCUUCGAGUCGUUGAUUUCACACUGCCGAGAAAAGCCUCUAGAUAGAAAAUAGGUGCCCGUACCGCAAACCGACACAGGUAGUCAAGAUGAGAAUUCUAAGGUGAGCGAGCGAACUCUCGUUAAGGAACUCGGCAAAAUGACCCCGUAACUUCGGGAGAAGGGGUGCUCUUUAGGGUUAACGCCCAGAAGAGCCGCAGUGAAUAGGCCCAAGCGACUGUUUAUCAAAAACACAGGUCUCUGCUAAACCGUAAGGUGAUGUAUAGGGGCUGACGCCUGCCCGGUGCUGGAAGGUUAAGAGGAGUGGUUAGCUUCUGCGAAGCUACGAAUCGAAGCCCCAGUAAACGGCGGCCGUAACUAUAACGGUCCUAAGGUAGCGAAAUUCCUUGUCGGGUAAGUUCCGACCCGCACGAAAGGCGUAACGAUUUGGGCACUGUCUCAACGAGAGACUCGGUGAAAUCAUAGUACCUGUGAAGAUGCAGGUUACCCGCGACAGGACGGAAAGACCCCGUGGAGCUUUACUGUAGCCUGAUAUUGAAAUUCGGCACAGCUUGUACAGGAUAGGUAGGAGCCUUUGAAACGUGAGCGCUAGCUUACGUGGAGGCGCUGGUGGGAUACUACCCUAGCUGUGUUGGCUUUCUAACCCGCACCACUUAUCGUGGUGGGAGACAGUGUCAGGCGGGCAGUUUGACUGGGGCGGUCGCCUCCUAAAAGGUAACGGAGGCGCUCAAAGGUUCCCUCAGAAUGGUUGGAAAUCAUUCAUAGAGUGUAAAGGCAUAAGGGAGCUUGACUGCGAGACCUACAAGUCGAGCAGGGUCGAAAGACGGACUUAGUGAUCCGGUGGUUCCGCAUGGAAGGGCCAUCGCUCAACGGAUAAAAGCUACCCCGGGGAUAACAGGCUUAUCUCCCCCAAGAGUUCACAUCGACGGGGAGGUUUGGCACCUCGAUGUCGGCUCAUCGCAUCCUGGGGCUGUAGUCGGUCCCAAGGGUUGGGCUGUUCGCCCAUUAAAGCGGUACGCGAGCUGGGUUCAGAACGUCGUGAGACAGUUCGGUCCCUAUCCGUCGUGGGCGUAGGAAAUUUGAGAGGAGCUGUCCUUAGUACGAGAGGACCGGGAUGGACAUACCUCUGGUGUACCAGUUGUCGUGCCAACGGCAUAGCUGGGUAGCUAUGUGUGGACGGGAUAAGUGCUGAAAGCAUCUAAGCAUGAAGCCCCCCUCAAGAUGAGAUUUCCCAACUUCGGUUAUAAGAUCCCUCAAAGAUGAUGAGGUUAAUAGGUUCGAGGUGGAAGCAUGGUGACAUGUGGAGCUGACGAAUACUAAUCGAUCGAAGACUUAAUCAA